rnacentral:rRNA from 1 species
AAAUGUUGGGUUAAGUCCCGCAACGAGCGCAACCCUUAUCCUUUGUUGCCAGCGAGUAAUGUCGGGAACUCAAAGGAGACUGCCGGUGAUAAACCGGAGGAAGGUGGGGAUGACGUCAAGUCAUCAUGGCCCUUACGAGUAGGGCUACACACGUGCUACAAUGGCAUAUACAAAGAGAAGCGAACUCGCGAGAGCAAGCGGACCUCAUAAAGUAUGUCGUAGUCCGGAUUGGAGUCUGCAACUCGACUCCAUGAAGUCGGAAUCGCUAGUAAUCGUAGAUCAGAAUGCUACGGUGAAUA